AUCCAGCUGAUGAGCCCUAAAUGGGACGAAACAUCCGUCGUGGAU
rfam:Schistosoma haematobium C9811576_1, whole genome shotgun sequence.